rnacentral:rRNA from 1 species
CAAUAGCGUAUAUUAAAGUUGUUGCGGUUAAAAAGCUCGUAGUUGGAUUUCUGCUGAGAACGACCGGUCCGCCCUCUGGGUGUGUAUCUGGCUCUUUCUUGGCAUCUUCUUGGUGAACGUUGCUGCACUUGACUGUGUGGAGCGCUACCCAGGACUUUUACUUUGAGGAAAUUAGAGUGUUUCAAGCAGGCAUACGCCUUGAAUACAUUAGCAUGGAAUAAUAAGAUAGGACCUCGGUUCUAUUUUGUUGGUUUCUAGAGCUGAGGUAAUGAUUAAUAGGGAUAGUUGGGGGCAUUCGUAUUUAACUGUUAGAGGUGAAAUUCUUGGAUUUGUUAAAGACGGACUACUGCGAAAGCAUUUGCCAAGGAUGUUUUCAUUGA